GAGGAAAGUCCGGGCUCCAUAGGGCAGGGUGCCAGGUAACGCCUGGGGGGGAAACCCACGACCAGUGCAACAGAGAGCAAACCGCCGAUGGCCCACGCGAGUGGGAUCAGGUAAGGGUGAAAGGGUGCGGUAAGAGCGCACCGCGCGGCUGGUAACAGUCCGUGGCACGGUAAACUCCACCCGGAGCAAGGCCAAAUAGGGGUUCAUAAGGUACGGCCCGUACUGAACCCGGGUAGGCUGCUUGAGCCAGUGAGCGAUUGCUGGCCUAGAUGAAUGACUGUCCACGACAGAACCCGGCUUA
rnacentral:RNase_P_RNA from 1 species